CUGUGUAGUUUGACCCAUCCACCAUCUUGACCAACCUCCCAACGCGGAUUUUUGGGCUUUCAUACUACUAGCUACUGCUGCUCGGCCCGCUGCGUUCUACACACACGUUGAAGGGUGCUUUUUGCGUCGGAUGUGAUGCUUAGAGUCA